rnacentral:rRNA from 1 species
CUAAUACAUGCAAGUCGAGCGGACCGACGGGAGCUUGCUCCCUUAGGUCAGCGGCGGACGGGUGAGUAACACGUGGGUAACCUGCCUGUAAGACUGGGAUAACUCCGGGAAACCGGGGCUAAUACCGGAUGCUUGAUUGAACCGCAUGGUUCAAUCAUAAAAGGUGGCUUUUAGCUACCACUUACAGAUGGACCCGCGGCGCAUUAGCUAGUUGGUGAGGUAACGGCUCACCAAGGCGACGAUGCGUAGCCGACCUGAGAGGGUGAUCGGCCACACUGGGACUGAGACACGGCCCAGACUCCUACGGGAGGCAGCAGUAGGGAAUCUUCCGCAAUGGACGAAAGUCUGACGGAGCAACGCCGCGUGAGUGAUGAAGGUUUUCGGAUCGUAAAACUCUGUUGUUAGGGAAGAACAAGUACCGUUCGAAUAGGGCGGUACCUUGACGGUACCUAACCAGAAAGCCACGGCUAACUACGUGCCAGCAGCGGGGGGAA